CAGGCGUUACCUUCCAGACCUAUCUGAAGAAUCCGAUCCCAUGUAUACCAAGCCCCAAGACAAGCGGUUAUGUCAGGUUUAGUGUUGGAAAUCAGCUUUGGUUACUUCAUGCGGUUCAAGGCAAGUGUGUAGUUGAUAGGUUGAUCUGCUUUAGCAUCUCUAGUGCUAUCUGCAAUCAGUAAAUCUAAAAUGGUGCUAAAGAUUGGUUAGAUAUUCAUGUUUAAACCAAUAUUAGAUUAUAGUCCCUAUUUUCGAUAGCUAAGCAUAAUUUAUUUGAAAUUCCUUUUUACGUAAGAAUAAA
rnacentral:lncRNA from 1 species